GUUUUUAAAAAUUUUUUGUAGAGAUGAGGUCUUGCCAUGUGAACUCCUGGGCUCAAGCAGUCCUUCCACUUUGGCCUCCCAAAGCGCUGGGCUUACAGGCAUGAGUCACCGUGACCAGCCUAGUUACAAUUCUUGAGUAAAAGAUUCACACCGUCAUUUUAAGAAAAACUGAACCUUUUAAAAUACAGCAAACCAAGAGAGAACACACGGAUGAUGUUUCAUCAAUUGUUUAAACUCCAGUGUUAAGAAGCUCCUCUGCUCAGCAGAGAGAACGUGAAGUCUGUUGAAAUCUAAAUAUGAGAUGCUGUUCCAUUGCUGCUGUUUUUAUUGGGAGGAGAAGCUGAGAAUCUCACAUCUUCUCCUGUCCUGUGAAAGUUUACUCCAGGCUGCAAAGCAUUUGAUUGUUUUCUUCCCUGCUGGUUCUGCCUUAGAAGAAAUCUCUGGGAAAAAAUGCAUCUAAAGGAGAGACCCAGAGAUGAGAAAGAUAUAACAGAAAUGCAUGCUGACCUAUACCAGAAUACACACCAAAGAAUGUUUACAGAAGUAUUGUUCAUAAUAGUUCAAAAUGGAAGCAACUCAAAUAUCUAUUAAGAACAGAAUGAAUAAUUAAAUUAUAGUAUAUUAACACAGUGGAAUACUAUUUUGUUGUUUAAAAUAUGCUGGAUCCAUGGAUCCACCAUUUGAAUACAUUUGGGAUUGUGGCAGGUCUAAUCAUCAAAAUUUGGUGAAAAUGAUGUCAUGUGUCCUCAUUCAUAAAAGGACGUGUGUUCAUAAAAGGGUAUGUGUUUCUGUCCAGCGCUGCUGAAACGUUUUCUCUUGGAGUAUUGAGCCACUUGUAAGAAAUUUGACUCCUCUGACACCACCACGCUUUAAGGAAGCCCAGGUUAUGUUAAUAGACACUUGCAGGCACACUGAUUUGUAGUGUUUGCUUCGUCACCUUAGCCCAGCUGCUGGACAUGUAAAUGAGGAAGACUCCAGGUAAUUCUAGUCCCCAGACAUCUGAGCCUCUUCAGGUGAUACCCCAGGCUUUAUGAAGCAGAGACAAAUCUCCAAGCUAUACUUUGUUUGAAUUCCCAACCCACAGAAUCUAUGAACAUAAUAAAACAGUUCUUUCUGUGCCAGUUAGGAGUGGUUUGUUACAUAGCAACAGAGAACUGGAACAACUAUAUCAACAAAACUAUGUGCAGAAACACACAGCAACAU
rnacentral:lncRNA from 1 species